AUUGAACGCUGGCGGCAUGCCUUACACAUGCAAGUCGAACGGCAGCGCGGACUUCGGUCUGGCGGCGAGUGGCGAACGGGUGAGUAAUGCAUCGGAACGUGCCUUUCAGUGGGGGAUAACGUAGCGAAAGUUACGCUAAUACCGCAUACGCCCUGAGGGGGAAAGUGGGGAUCGCAAGACCUCACGUUAUUCGAGCGGCCGACGUCUGAUUAGCUAGUUGGUGGGGUAAUGGCUCACCAAGGCGACGAUCAGUAGCGGGUCUGAGAGGAUGAUCCGCCACACUGGGACUGAGACACGGCCCAGACUCCUACGGGAAG
rnacentral:rRNA from 1 species